rnacentral:sRNA from 1 species
UGAUAGUAUACGAGGACGAUUCUCGUCGC